AACGAACGCUGGCGGCAUGCCUAACACAUGCAAGUCGAACGAGACCUUCGGGUCUAGUGGCGCACGGGUGCGUAACGCGUGGGAACCUGCCCUUAGGUUCGGAAUAACUCCCCGAAAGGGGUGCUAAUACCGGAUAAUGUCUUCGGACCAAAGAUUUAUCGCCUUUGGAUGGGCCCGCGUUGGAUUAGCUAGUUGGUAGGGUAAAAGCCUACCAAGGCGACGAUCCAUAGCUGGUCUGAGAGGAUGAUCAGCCACACUGGGACUGAGACACGGCCCAGACUCCUCGGGGGGGGAGAAGGGGGGAAUUUUGGAAAAGGGGGGAAAGCCUGACCCAGCAAGGCCGGGGGGGGGAGGAAGGCCUGAGGUUUUAAAAGCUUUUUUACCCGGGAUGAAAAGGAAGGUACCGGGAAAAAAAGCCCGGGCUAACCCGGU
rnacentral:rRNA from 1 species